CUCUCUCUCUCUCUCUCUACUGUAUUAUCAAGAUCUCCAAAUGAACCAAAACUUGUUGUUAAUACCCUUCUAUCCAUUCAUUAAUCUCUUUAUCAUCACUUUCCUUCUCCUCGCCAGAAAGGCACAAGUGCAUAUGUAGAUCCUCAGUACUUGACUUGCAGCAUCAACAAAACAUGUGGCGAUGGCCAAAUUAUAUCCUUCCCAUUCUAUAUUCAAGACCAGCAAGAAUCUUUCUGUGGUUACCCUGGAUUCAAUGUCGUUUGUCAUGAUCGCAGUCCAGUUCUCAGACUACGAGAUGAUAAUUAUAUUAUCCAAAAAAUCGACUACAAAAACCAGAUUAUUCGAGUCUCAAACACCGCGUUUUUCCAUACAAACACCGCUUGUGUUCCUCAUCGAUUCAAAAACACAUCACUACCUGAUGACCGGUUCAAUCUAUUUCCAAAUCAGACAGAACUGUUCUUGCUUUCUCGUUGCAACUCAACACUGCUAGGAGGUAGUAAUAGUGAACUUCAAAAGUACAAGGUUAAUUGUUCUGGCGAAACUGAAGCUGGUCCAAUUUUAUCAAUGUUUGAUGGCGAUCCUCUACUGGGUAGUGCAUCAGAGGUCUGUGAAAAAGAAUUGGUGGUUCCUGUGGAUUCGCAAAGAGGAGAGAAUGAAGGAAUUGAAAGGAUGCUAGAAAGAGGGUUCGUGUUGAAUUGGACAGCAAGUAAUUGCAGCAUAUGCGAAAGUAGUGGAGGUAAAUGUGGGUUUAAUAGCAGCACCUACCAUUUUAGGUGUUUCUGCCCAGACCGGCCUCAUGCGUGGAAUUGUAAACCUGACCCUCCAGAUGCAGGAAAGAACAUGUUGGGAUUGAAGCUAGGAUUGGCAUUGGGUAAGUCAAUAGCUAAAAUUUCUCUGCUUUAUAUAUUUGUUCUUAAUGCUUUAUUUAAACCUUUCCAUAUUUAAAUAACUUUAGUUGGUUUGAAAAUGAAAUAGACUUUUUAGCUUAAUUUUUAGAUUACCAUUAACUAAUUAAUGCUUAAUUAUCUAGAUAAUGAUGUCAUAAUGAGAUUUUUUUUUUCGAUUCCGAGACACCUAUUUCCAUUUCCAUUUCAUUUGAAAGUGAAUUAAACAUGCCUACAAUAACUUUAUUAAAUGUUUUUGUUCAUACAAUGCCUCAUUUUUGUUUGUUUACCACAGGCAGUGCAAUUGUAGUUCUUGUUGUGAUUGCAGUCUGUUGUCUUAUUAGAAAAUUGAAAUCCGACUACUCCAUUUUCUUUCGGAAGAAGAAAACAAAAGAAUCUAGAAGCAUUGAUGCCUUCCUCAAGAACCAUGGACCUAUGCCCUUGAAAAGAUAUAGAUAUACAGAAGUUAAGAAAAUGAC
rnacentral:misc_RNA from 1 species